rnacentral:lncRNA from 1 species
AGUGUCAGGUUAGGCUUUAGGGUUUAGAUUAAUUAGUGUGUUUUAAUUUAUAUUAAAUAAGAUUUAGGGGUUAGGGGUUAGGGAUUCAGGUUAGGGUUUAGGGUUUAGGUUAAUUAGUGUUUUUAAAUUUAUAUAUUAAAUAAGGUUUAGGGGUUAGUAGUUAGGGGUUAGGGAUUUGGGGUUAUGGGUUAGAGGUUAAGAGUUAGUGAUUUAAGGUUUAGAGACUCGAGGUCAGGUUAGGGUUUAAGGUUUAGAUUAAUUAGUAUUUUUUAAUUUAUGUAUUAAUUAAGUUCUUAUAUAAUUGUAAAAGAGGGGUUAGGGGUUAGAGGUUAAGAAUUAGGGAUUAGGGGUUAGGGGUUAUGGAUAGGUAACUAUCUAUUUUGGAUAGGACCAAAU